UGGUGAGAUGUUUCUGGAAGAAAAAAUCCCCUCGAUUUCUGAUUUAAAGCUAGCAAUUCGAAGAGCUACUCUGAAAAGAUCAUUUACUCCUGUAUUUUUGGGAAGCGCCUUGAAGAACAAAGGAGUUCAGCCUCUUUUAGAUGCUGUUUUAGAAUACCUCCCAAAUCCAUCUGAAGUCCAGAACUAUGCUAUUCUCAAUAAGGAGGAUGACUCAAAAGAGAAAACCAAAAUCCUAAUGAACUCCAGUAGAGACAAUUCCCACCCAUUUGUAGGCCUGGCUUUUAAACUGGAGUUUUUGUCUAGGUCCUUUUUCCAUCUCACUAGACAGAAGGACCACAGAAGGCCCAUCCAGAGGACCACGUUAUAUUUGAUUGUCAUGUCUCCUUAUGCUCUCCUAGGCUGUAAUAGUUUCUUAGACUUUCCUUGUUUCUCACGAGAUUGAUAUUUUUGAGAAGUAUUGGUCAGCUCUUUUGUAGAGUGUCCCUCAAUUUGGGUUUAUUAUUUGAUGCUUUUCACAUGAUUAGAUUGGAGUCAUGUGUUUUUAGGAGGACUGCCAUCGAGGUGAAGUGUUAUUCUUGUCACAUCAUAUCCAAGGUACAGACUUGCAGCAUGAUUUAUCAUUGUUUUUGUUUUUUUUGUUUUUAUUUUUAUUUUUUUGAGAUGGGAUUUCGCUCUUAUUGCCCAGGCUGGAGUGCAGUGGCACAAUCUCGGUUCACUGCAACCUCCGCCUCUUAGGUUCAAGCGAGUCUCCUGCCUCAGCCUCCCAAGUAGCUGGGAUUACAGGCAUGCGCCACCAUGCCCGGCUAAUUUUGUAUUUUUAGUAGAGACGUAGUUUCUCCCUGUUGGUCAGGCCGGUCUCGAACUCCUGACCUCAGGUGAUCCGAGUGUCUUGGCCUCCCAAAGUGCUGGGAUUACAGGCGUGAGCCACUGCACUUGGCUGAUUUAUCAUUGUUAAUGCUAACCUCAAUCACCACACCUGGCUGAGAUAGUGUUUGACAGGUUUCUCUGCUGUAAAGUUACUGUACUCUUUUUAUUCCCCUUUUCAUAGUGUACUUUUUAGAAGGAAGUCACUUGGCUCAGCCAACACUUAAGGAGGGGGGAAUUAUGUUCCACCCCCUUGAGGGGGCACUAUCUACAUAAGUUAUUUGGAAUUCUUCUGAAAGGGAGAUUUGUCUUUCUUCCCUGCUUAUUUAUCUAUUUGGACAAUCACUUAUUUAAUAUCAGUGUGGACUCAUGUAUAUGUAUUUUGAACUUUGAGUUAUAACUAUGACUUUGAGUAUGUCAUUUGUUGUUCAGAUUGGCUGGGUUUGGCGAUUGGGAACUCUCAGUUGGCUCCUGUGUUCCUUUAACAUCUUCCAAUGUUUUGCCUUUUUGAAUACUUCCUUACUUGCUGGCACUACAAGACGCCCCAGGCUUAUCUUGCAUAUUCCAUGCCCUAACCCUAGAAUCAGCCAUUCUCCAAGGAGCACUGGUUACUUUUUAAGUAAAAUGGUAUUAGAAACCAAGAUUUGGGGACUGGAUGGGCUUUUUGUUGAAAUGCUGUUGCUUCUGUACAUAAUAUUUUAAGUGGGGAAAAAUGGUAGAUAAGUUGGAAGUGUUAAGAGUGGUUAUUUCUGGGAUGGGAUUAUAUUUUGGGGGCUUUUUCUUACUUUAAAAAUAUUUUACAGUAUAUUACCUCCAAAAUGAGGGGAAAAUUUUUUUAAUUAAAAAGUGGAAAUAACAUUACAGUAAAAGUUUUUACACAUAAAGCUUUUAAAAAUACAUAUAUAAGAAUAUUUUCUUAGGAUUCCCAGAAUAGUGAUUAUUGAGUUAAAGGCAUAGAAUGUUUUCAUAGUUAAUGGUUUAUAUUGCCAGAUUGCGUUCAUACUCUCCAAAUUAAUGUAUUGGAUUAUUUCAAUGAAUAUCAUCAUUGAGUAUUGUUUAAAAAUCAUUACUGAUUUAACAAAUGAAGAAUUUUAUUGUAAUCUUUUAUCUUGAUGAAAUAAAUUUUGACUUUUAAAAGC
rnacentral:sRNA from 1 species